GGUGCUUUUUAGGGCCACACUUGCAGCAUAUGGAAGUUCCCAUGCUAGGUGUCGAAUUAGAGCUGUAGCUGCCAGCCUACACCACAGCCAGUGCAGUGCAGGAUCCAAGUCACAUCUGUGAUCUACACUACAGUUCAUGGCAAUGGCAGAUCCUUAACCCAAUGAGUGAGGCCAGGGAUUAAACCCGCAUCCUCAUGAAUCCUAGUCGGGUUCAUUAACUGCUGAGCCACGAAGGGAACUCUCCAAUUGGGAGCCUUUUAAAUGCAAUUUGGGGCCAGGGUCCAUUGUGGAAUUCACGCCAUCACAUCACUCAUCUAACUCUUCCCACAUAACUGCCUUCAAAUAGUAAGGCAGCUACCAAGUGGACACCAAUUUAACUUAUAUAUUUCUAGGAGAUGAAUUAAUAAGUUCCAGGAAGGGCUUCUACCUAGGGGACUAAUGCUAAGAACUGCUAAGCCCUUUGGGAGCCUUUCCAAUACCCCUCAAAUAGUGGCAUUAAGAGCAUUCAUUUGAGCAGACUAAAAAAUCAUUAAUCCCAGAGUUGUCAUAAUAUGGAUUGUCUGAGGUUGGACUGAGUGAGAUAUUUUUGUAUGCAAAGAGAAGAUGAAAAAAAUGACUUCUAAAUUUCCACUCAAUCCUGAAAUGCAAUUCGGUUACUUAAAUAGUUAUUUUACUGAGUAUAAAAUUGAGUCAGGAAAAUGAAGAUUUUCUUUAGAGUCUUGUUUAUGCCUAUUGACUUGGUGAAACUAAUAAUAGCUUACCCUUUGACUUAAAAAGUGUACAUCAUCACCAGAGAAUACUAAUUCCUUUUGAAAGUGAUAUGUUUCCAGAAGUCUGUCAACCAUCUUCAUGGAGACUAACAAGCUGGAUUCCAUACCUGGAAAGAAUAAUCUCUUUGGUUUUCCUACUAAAGUAUCAUCCAUUGUUUCUCUCAGUUAAAACCCUAAAUCUGCCAGGUUGAUGUGCUGUAUACAUUCUACAUAGGUAAGAGUAAGAGAUUAAGAGAAUCAUUUCUAAAACCAAAGGAUUUAAGCAUUUAUCUGAACACUGGUUGUUAAAAAUUAUAAUUGGGGAAUCGUACCUAAAUUCAAUCCCUUACCUUCUAGUCCCACAGUUACUACCCUUCAUUAGAACUUCAUUUCUUCUUGCUGAAUUGUAAUUAAAAUGUUUAAACGCUAAUUCUCAUCCAGGUCUUAGCCAACAAUCAUAGUUUGACUGAAGAUUUAGAAAACAGACUUGCCAAAUGUGCAGAUGACCAGAAGUUAUGAUUAAAAUAUAAUUUGUUGGAUAAGAGGAUAAAGAGUCUUUAAGUUCUUAAUGGGCUGAAACAAAAGCCCAAGAAAUGAAAAAUACAGUUUAAUAUAGAUAAAUUGAAAGUCCUACUUUUAGCUUAAAAUGAAACAAACAAACAAAAAGGAUAUAUGAGGAAGGACAGGUGUAAAAUUGUUCACAUAAAGAAACCUGGGGAAUUAUUUGGGAUGGUGUGAUCCAAUAGCAUGCUAAUGCUACUAAGAAAGUAUAAUAUUUAGACUGAAAUAAAAUAGAAUGUCCAGACCAGUGAACAAAAGAGCCUCAUGAUUUUCUGUGUUGUUAGGACUGCAUGUGGUACUGUGUUCAGCUCUACAAUGAAAGGUAAAAUAGAGCAAAGUCUAUUCAGAAAAAAUGAAGACACAACAAAUAACUGGGCAAACAAGAAAUGUUAGGGAAAUAAAAUAACACUGCAAUAAUAACAACAACACUAUAAUACUGCAAAAGUGAUAAAGUAGCACAUUCUAUGUUCUGGAGUGUGCUGGAGACCCUAAACAAGUUGUCUGCUUUGACUCUGCAUAAAUCCUAGGAGAUAAUACUAUUAGCUCCUUUUUUCAGAUGAAGAAUCUGAUGCUCAAAGAAAGUAAGGUGUCUAAGAUUACUUUACACUAAAUAUUUGAAGAUAUCUGUGUAAAACAGUGAAAGACUUGUUCUUUCCAAAGGGAAAUGAAUGGAAGCUACAACUUGAUACAAAUGAAAAGUCCUAAUUUCAUAACUGCAUUAGAAUGGAAUUGUCUGCCUGCCUACUAGCAAGUUCUUAUGAUCAAGCUGAAACAAACUGUAAGGACAGAAUUAUCAGGGAAAAAAGCAUUCCUGUCAUGGCUAAGUGGGGUAGGUAACCUCCAGGUUCCCUUCCAAUAUUAAAGUCUAUGAUUCUGAUUCUGAGAAAUGGAGUAUUUUUUGCCUUGGCAUUGUACACUCUUUAGGUCAAAUCAAAUUAAAUCAAAUUGAAAGAUUCAUUCAAAUCAGCUGUUAUGAUGAACUUAGGUCUCUUCAAUUAAAAUAGCUGUUCCAGUUAAUCUCUGUAAACAUAUCUGUUAAUCUAUUUCUGUGAUUGAUCACAUUUCACCUGUGUUUUCUUCUUUUUUUCUUUCACAGCUGCAUGUGCAGCAUAUGAAGUUCUCAGGCUAGUGGUCAAAUCAGAGCUGUAGCUGAGGCCUACGCCACAGCCAUGGCUACACUGGGUCCAAGCCGCAUCUACAAUCUACAUGGCAGCAUGCAGGAACACCAGAUCCUUAACUCACUGAACGAGGCAAAGGAUCAAAUCCACAUCCUCACAGAGACAAAAUGUCAAGUCCUUAACCCACUGAGCCACAAUGAGAACUCCUGAGUUUUUUAUGUUUAAAGCAAUUUUAUGAAUAUCACUUAUACCAAGUUGAUGUUGGUGAAUGGGAUAAGCCUUGAACAAGCUACUUCUGAAUAUUUACAAGCGUCAUAACUGACAGAAAAUCUCAGCCAUUUUGGCAAUGGAAAAUAAGAGUCUUAUACUAUUUCUUGAACCUGCAUGUUCCCUGAAAUGUAAACAAUUCAAAUCCUCUAUGAGGCCUGUGGUAAGUGGAGAUCAAAUUACAAGGUGUUCAGGAGAGAAUGUUACCUGUUGAACUAGCCCACAAGUGCUUUGUAUGCACAAGUAGUUUCCUUCCCCUCCCCCUUGUUUUUGUCAGUUGUUUCAGAGUCAAAUUCAGGAGGUUAAAAAAGAAAGAAUAGUAACCACGGGUUGUGUGCAUGAACAAGACAGAAACUGGGCAAACCUAAAGCAAAUACUUGUUACUUGGGAGAGGAGAACAACAAAACUCCAGGGUUUCCCUGAUACAAAUACAGAGACAGGCACAAAACAGACAAAUUGGAUGCACUUAUUUAGUUCUUUUCUUUUACUUCUAAGCGGGGGAGAAGGGCAGGAAAUUUCUAUCAUGUCAGUAACAUGUAAGAAGCUAAACAGUUCAAAUCCUAACCAAGUCCAGUCCUUUAUAUUAAAUUCCAUCUUUGUCUCUCCUGUAUUUCUUCUUCUCCUGUAUUCUCUUCUGUAUUUCUUCUUGUCUCUCUCUGUAUUUUAAGUUAAUAUGUUAACUUAAAAUUAUUUGUGUGUGCAUUUGAUUAAUAUCCAUUUCCUCACUAGAAUGUACACCUAUGAGGGUAGGUAUAAUGUCUAUUUUUGCUCACCAUUGUCCCCAGAGUUUAAGCACAGUGCUGGCACACAUGAUACCAAUCAAUAAAUAUUCAGUGAAUGAACAAAUUAAUGGAUGCAGCCUUACAGAGCGUAUUUUGAUUAAUUGUAAGAUUUCUAAACAAUUUACACAAGUUUCAGGACAGACCUUAUUAUAUACAAAGAAUAUCUUUCCAGAAAUGUUUAUGGCAAAACCAUUCGCAUACUGUUAGAGAACUCUACCAUUAAUUGUGUCAUCUCUGAAAAAUUAAAAGAGUAAUAAACAUCCCACAAAUCAGCCUUAACCUGGCCAAAGUCUAGGAUGCUUUUCCAUUCCUAAUUUAUGCAAUUUUAUCACUACAAUCUAUUUUUUUUGGAAAGCCAAGCCAGAUUUCUGGUUCUUCAAAUUAUACUUCAUAAGCUCCUCAUUAAUACACAACAGGUUUGUCAUGAGUUACCAAGCGCUGAGAUCUGACAUGAGGCAAUACAGAUAACACCAUACCGCAUCUUAAAAACACCUUUUCACGAGGCACCCGAAAGAAUAACAUGCCGCAGUUUUGCUGGCUUGCUUCACUGAUGACUUUAACCACUUUCUGUGAGCUAAAAUGAACAGAGAAUAUUUCACCACUGAUCUGUGUACAAUCUAAGUGAUGUUCAUUAUAAGUGUCACAUAAUAGAAGAGUAAAAAUCACAUCCAUAUUCACAAACCAGAAUACUUUACAGAUGUGAUGUAAUAUAACAAAAAUUUGAGGAUAUUUUGCUAUAUACUAAAUAUUUAAAAAAAUGAUAUAGCUCUGAUUCCUUAUUCUGUUACAACUAGUAGCCCUUCUAAUGACAGACAAAGGAAAUUAAUAUAUAUUUUUUGAAUGAAAAAUUAUAUCCUAGGUUUUCUUACUAAAGGUAUUUAUAGGCCUACAGCCUCAAGGGCCUGGAAGAUUCUUUUCCCAUACAGAAUAUCAAAGAAUAUUAGGUAGAGUUCUCUGUUCUAUACAGUCAAUCAUUCCUCAUACCUCAUUAUUAUAGGAGGGUAAUACAAUACAUUAGUAUUUUAAAAUGCAUCCUCAGUGGCCAAGCAAAUUCAAUUUUAUUUGUUCAUAUAGGAUUUUGUUUUUCAAAAGUACAAUUUCUUCUGCAUACCAAAUGAACCAUAAACAUUAGGAUAUGUCCCAGGUUUUUACGCCAGGUAGGAAAAGCCUUAUCUCUCUUAUUUCAAGAAGCUUUUAAAGUAUUCUUCACAUGCUAAAAUAUUUUCUUUUGCAAGUUUUUCUCCUUUUCAAAUAACUCUCUGUAAGGAGAAGGCAAUGCCCAGUAGAACCAUUCUCAGAUCCUCAUUGAGAGAAUUAUUCAUUUUACAACAGAAAGUAUAGAAAAAUCCAUUGCAUAACAAUCACAAAUGUCUAUCAAAUCCAAGGCAGUACACAUUUUCACUAAUUUUGUGGUGAUUUUUUGUUUACUCAUCUUUUUAAACUGAAGU
rnacentral:lncRNA from 1 species